rnacentral:rRNA from 1 species
CCGCUAUCGGAUGAGCCUAUGUCGGAUUAGCUGGUUGGUGAGGUAAAGGCUCACCAAGGCGACGAUCCGUAGCUGGUCUGAGAGGAUGAUCAGCCACAUCGGGACUGAGACACGGCCCGAACUCCUACGGGAGGCAGCAGUGGGGAAUAUUGGACAAUGGGGGGAACCCUGAUCCAGCCAUGCCGCGUGUGUGAAGAAGGCCCUCGGGUUGUAAAGCACUUUCAGUGAGGAAGAACGCCUGGUGGUUAAUACCCAUCAGGAAAGACAUCACUCACAGAAGAAGCACCGGCUAACUCCGUGCCAGCAGCCGCGGUAAUACGGAGGGUGCGAGCGUUAAUCGGAAUUACUGGGCGUAAAGCGCGCGUAGGUGGCUUGAUAAGCCGGUUGUGAAAGCCCCGGGCUCAACCUGGGAACGGCAUCCGGAACUGUCAAGCUAGAGUGCAGGAGAGGAAGGUAGAAUUCCCGGUGUAGCGGUGAAAUGCGUAGAGAUCGGGAGGAAUACCAGUGGCGAAGGCGGCCUUCUGGACUGACACUGACACUGAGGUGCGAAAGCGUGGGUAGCAAACAGGAUUAGAUACCCUGGUAGUCCACGCCGUAAACGAUGUCGACCAGCCGUUGGGUGCCUAGCGCACUUUGUGGCGAAGUUAACGCGAUAAGUCGACCGCCUGGGGAGUACGGCCGCAAGGUUAAAACUCAAAUGAAUUGACGGGGGCCCGCACAAGCGGUGGAGCAUGUGGUUUAAUUCGAUGCAACGCGAAGAACCUUACCUACUCUUGACAUCCUGCGAAUUUGGUAGAGAUACCUUAGUGCCUUCGGGAACGCAGAGACAGGUGCUGCAUGGCUGUCGUCAGCUCGUGUUGUGAAAUGUUGGGUUAAGUCCCGUAACGAGCGCAACCCUUGUCCUUAUUUGCCAGCGCGUAAUGGCGGGAACUCUAAGGAGACUGCCGGUGACAAACCGGAGGAAGGUGGGGACGACGUCAAGUCAUCAUGGCCCUUACGAGUAGGGCUACACACGUGCUACAAUGGUCGGUACAAAGGGUUGCCAACUCGCGAGAGUGAGCCAAUCCCGAAAAGCCGAUCUCAGUCCGGAUCGGAGUCUGCAACUCGACUCCGUGAAGUCGGAAUCGCUAGUAAUCGUGGAUCAGAAUGCCACGGUGAAUACGUUCCCGGGCCUUGUACACACCGCCCGUCACACCAUGGGAGUGGACUGCACCAGAAGUGGU